CUACUUGGAAGGAGAGAGAGAAUAAUAAGAGAAGAGAGAGGAGGAGAAGAGCCAUAGCUGCUAAGAUUUAUGCAGGACUUAGAGCUCAGGGGAACUUUAAACUUCCUAAACAUUGUGAUAAUAAUGAAGUCUUGAAAGCUCUCUGCCUUGAGGCUGGCUGGAUCGUUGAAGAUGAUGGCACCACCUAUCGCAAGGUUUUCUUUUCCAUUAGCUAAUUUCUUUUUUUUUUUUUCUCUCUCUCUUCGAAUUUUCAUGGAUUUCCUAGAUCUAUAUGCAUGGUCUAUAGAUUUUGGUUUCUGAGUGGUUUUCGGAAAGCUUUUAAUCGAUCUUGACCCAUGUGUUCUCUUCUUGUUUCAUCUUGUCUUAUGUUCAUCUGGCAUCAUGUUUAAUUGCAAUUUGUCCAGAUUUGAGCAAGUCUCUGGUUUCAAUUUUUUUUCUACGUUUACUUGAUUGGUUUUGUUUAUAUUCAUGUUAGAUCUGUGGCAUUCCUAGGCUUUCUGAUGUAGAAAAAUGUGAGAGUAGAUAAGGGGAGAGUUUGCUACCCUCUUUGAUCAAAUCUUGUUCUAAAGGGUAAAUUUUCUGCUAUAUUUACUUGCUUUUCUGAAUCCAAAAUCUUGGUUUAUCAUAGGCGUCUUAUCCUUCCAUUACUAAUGGCAAGGUUGCUGGAUGUUUCUUUUGCCUGGUUUGACUAUUGAGUUGAUUUCUAUUUCUAGUGAUUUUUGGGCUUUUCUCAUCAAUAACUCAUUUCUUAGUUGAUAUAAGUUCUGGAAAUCAAACCCUUGUAUCAAUAAACAAACAACCACUUUCUUAAACUUCAUGCAAUUGUAUCACCGCAGCAACUUUGACUAUUAACACUUGUAAUCUUCUGUUACAGGGCUGCAAGCCACCCCCAUCAGAGAUUGCUGGCAUUCCAACAAAUAUCAGUGCAAGUUCUUCUGUUCAACCCAGUCCACAAUCCUCAAAUUUCCCAAGUCCGGUACCUUCCUACCAUGCCAGUCCAACAUCCUCCUCAUUUCCAAGCCCCAGUAGGUAUGAUGGAAACCCCUCCAAUUACCUCCUUCCUUUCCUUCGAAACAUAGCUUCAAUCCCCACGAACCUUCCUCCUCUUAGAAUAUCCAAUAGUGCUCCUGUAACCCCACCACUUUCUUCCCCAACUUCUAGAAGUUCAAAGAGGAAAGCUGAUUGGGAAUCCUUUUCAAAUGGCUCUCUGAAUUCUUUUCACCAUCCUCUUUUUGCUGUUUCUGCCCCUUCCAGCCCUACCCGACGCCAGCAUCUUGCACCAGCAACAAUACCAGAAUGUGAUGAGUCUGAUGCCUCUACUGUGGACUCUAGUCGCUGGGUAAGUUUUCAGGCAGCUGCUUCCCAGGUAGCUCCUCCUUCACCAACAUUUAAUCUUGUUAAACCAGUGGCUCAGCAGAGUGGUUUUCUGGAUGGAGUUGAUGGGCAUGGAGGAUUAGGCUGGGGGGCAGCAGCAGAGAGGGGGAGAGGAUCGGAGUUUGAAUUUGAGAAUGGGAGGGUGAAGCCAUGGGAGGGUGAGAGGAUUCACGAGAUAGGGGUGGAUGACCUUGAGCUCACACUUGGGUGUGCAAAGGCUCAUUAAGCUAAUAGAUAGUUAAUCUUUGGAAUGUAAGGACAAUGAAAAUAAUUGGAGUGAGUUGUGCAUUCUCAAUGGUAUAUUGCGAACCAUCUUAGCUAAUGGAAUGCCAAUGCUAC
rnacentral:lncRNA from 1 species